rnacentral:lncRNA from 1 species
AAUAAUGCAGCCCAUAUUUAUGUUAAUAUAAAUAAAACACUUAGCACAGGUCUUGCCACAGUAGGGGCUCUAGUCACUCAUUCCCACUCCCUGUGCACGUGGCAGGGAGCUGACGGGCCUGGGGGAGGCCCAGCUCAGGUGCCAAGAUGGCUUUCCCUGCCAGCCCCUCCGGCUGAAAGAAUGGAGACUCCAGAUUUGAACAAACCUCCAAAUCUUCAUGGCUCCGGCAUAGAAAUUAUUCGUUCCUAUGUUCGUGCCUCCAUUUAUUCACCAAAAACUCGCUGGCUCUGAAGCGGUGCAGUGGGGGACCUGGAAAGAGCAUUCUAGUAAACUCAGAGUUCUUUGGAUAACAGGUUCAUUUAUUCACAAACCCUCCAUGAGCACCCACUGCCUGCCCUGGGAGCACAGGUGGGACAGAGUCACAGGAAAGGUGCACACAGGCGGCCUGGGAGCCAGGUCUGGGGGCGAAGAAGAGCCAGGGAUAGAGAAAAGCAAGGCCAGACUCCUCCUGGGGACACAUCAGGAGGGUGCCCGUCAGGGAAGUCUGGACUCUGCUCCUUGAGAAAACAAGGAGUCCAGUCCCACCCCCGCCACUCCCGAGCUGGGUGACCUCAAGCAGGCACCCCGCCUACUCAGGCACCUCAAUUCCCUCACUCUAAAAUGGGAAUGAUAAUUACACCUGCUCGUGAAAAUUAAAUGAAAUAGUGAGUGGAAAGUGCUGAGCACGGUGGCUGGCCCAGAUAUCAUUUCAAGUACCAUUUCAUCAUCAGGGCCAUUAUCAUCCAUCCUCAGACACCACCAGCCAACCCAGUCCAGCACGCUUCUCUGCAUCAGCAAAGAGGCCGAAACCCAACCCUGCCGCCAAGAGCGGGGCCGGGCUGGGGCGGAAAAGGAAGCUCCAUUCUUGAGCAGACACUCUGCUGGCCCCGGGUCUGCCCUCUGCCAGGGCGGGAGGCAGCGUGCUGUGAAAUACACGGAUCCCCCUCGAUGUGUCUGGAAACCUCCUGGGCGUUGCUCCCUGGAGAGCAGAUGCACGGGGGUGGCGCGGGGGUGAGUCAUGGCAGCGGGAGAGCCCUGCUCUGCUCCUCCCUGUCGGCCCGAGUCAGCGCCCAGCCUUGGGCCAAAGGGAUGCCAGGGUCUGAUCCCUUCUCCGCCACUCCCCCAGAGUGAGUCACGGGGCGGAGGGGCAUGCGCUUCCCCUCCCCCUCCUUUCCCGGGUCUGGCCGGUUUGGCCAAGUCCUGACUGGGCAGGGCCUAAGGAGAAGGACGUCUUCAGGCCCCUGGGCAGCAGGAAUCCGCUGAUUUGCUGGGUUUUAAUUUGGGGGAUUUCACUGCCAGCGAUGGAAUUGGGGCCUCACUGCUGCAGACUCUGUGUAACCUCAAAUGUCUUUCACCCAUCUUGUUUUUAAAAUGUUUUAAAAUGUUUUAAUUAUAGUUGAUUCACAAUGUUAUCAGGAGUCCCCAUCAUGGUGCAGUGGAAACGAAACCGGCUGUGUCCAUGAGGAUGCAGGUUCAAUCCCUGGCCUUGCUCAGUGGGUUAAGGAUCCAGCACUACUGUGAGCUGUGAUGUAGGUCACAGAUGCGGCUGGGAUCUGGUGGUGCUGUGGCUAUGGUGGAAGCUGACAGCUGUAGCUUCAAUUCAACCCCUAGCCUGGGAACUUCCAUAUGCCACAGGCUUAGCCAAAAAAAAAAAGACUGACAAUACCAAGUGUUACUGAAGAUGUGGAAGAAUGAGUAACUUUUAUACGCUGCUAGUGGGAUCUAAAAUGGUACAACCACUUUGGAGGAACUUCCACGUGCCACGGGUGUAGCCAUUAAAAAAGAAAAAAAAAAAAGAAAGGGAGUUUCCACUGUGGCUCAGUGGAAAUCAUUCCAACCAGUAUCCAUGAGGAUGUGGGCUCCAUCCCUGGCCUCACUUAGAACCUCGAGCUUCAGGGUAGGUUACAGACGCAGCCUGGAUCCAGUGUUACUGUGGCUGGGGUGUAGGCUGACAGCAGUAGCUCCAAUUCGAUCCCUAGCCUGGGAAUUUCCAUAUGCCACAGGCACAACCCUAAAAAGAAAAAAAAAAUUGUACACAACUGGUCAUAGCAGCUUUAUUAAUUAGUCCUAAACUGUAAACAAAUGAAAUGUCCUUCAAGGGGUGAAUGGUUAAAAAAAUUCGAGUACAUCCACACUAUGGAAUACUACUCAGCAAUAAAAAAUGAACUACUGAUAUAUGAAUGAAUCUCUCUCUAUAUAUAUAUUUACUUAUUUUAUUUUGGCCAUACCGAGGCAUGUGGAAGUUCCAUCGAACCCAAGUCACAGCAGCAACCAGAAUUACAGCAGUGACAAUGCUGGAUCCUUGUAACCCAUCAAGCCACCAGGGAACUCCUGAAUCUCAAAAUAUUAAUGCUGAGUGGAAGACAGAGAAAAAUAAAAAACAAAAACACACCACACUGUUUGAAUCCAUUUAAAGAAAAUUCUAGAAAAUGCCAACUAAUCGUGUAGCAACAGAAAGCAGAUUAGUGGUUGCUUGGGGACAGGAGAGGGGGAGGGGAAGAGACAGGAGGGAAGGAUUAGAGAGAGGAGCAAGGAAAUUUUAGGGGGUGAUGGUUUCAUAUAAAACAUCAAAACAUAUCAAAUUAUAAUCUUUAAGUAUGUGCAGCUUAUCAACUAUCAAUUAUUCCUCAGUAAAGCUAUUGGACAAGACAAAGUCCCUGCCCUCACCAGGCUCAAAUCCUAGUGGUCAGGAUAAACAGUAAGCCUGAUAAACACUGAGAAAAAUACCCCCUGGGGAAACAAAACAGGGCAACACAGUGAGCACAGGACAGAAGGUGAGUGAAGGGGGACACUUCUCAGCAGGUGGCAGCUCCUCCGGUCUCUGAGCACCCCCAGCCCCCAGGCAGCCCCCUUCCUUCUCUGAAGGCUCUCAGAGGCUGAGUGGCUUUGCACAAAUCCCAGCCUCUCUGUAGCUCAGCUUUCUCAGCCAUAUGGUAGGGAGACAGAGCUGUGCCCAGCUCAUUCCAUAAGGGGCCCCACGUGGUCAGUUCUCUGCCCAAGGGGGCCUCUCACCUUGGCCUGGCUGGAUUUGGGGACAAGCAGAGGACCUGGGGUUGUCUUCUGGGGAGGGGGCGUGGUUUGGAGCAGUGGGCACCCCUUUGCAGCACAGCUUGCAGAGGCAGGAUGAGCUGAGGUGUGCCAGGGCAGGGGACAGGCCAGGUUGGCCUGAGGCCCAGAGAGGCGGGGCAGGAGGUCAUUGGCCAUGGGCAAGGAGCCCAUUUGGCCCUCUCUCUGGACACAAUGUCCUGGACUGCUUCACAGCUUGGCUGGCCGACAGGGAACAGUGGCUGGCAGAGGAUUCGGGCAGCCGGCCAACUGAGGGGGAGCAGCCCAGCUUGAGCAAAGGGCUGGUUCUUACACCCAGACCUGCCACCUUGGGCAAGAAGAGGACCAGCUUGUCCAGAAGGCAGGUAGAGGGCGGACCUCAGCAAUCCCUUCCUACCCUGUGCCUUAGUUGCCUCAUACCACCUGCGGCUGCCAUCCCUUGAGCUAAGCCCUCCAAGAAUUAGAACCCUGCCCCUAGUCCUGGAUUCUAAACUCUGGUCCGGCCCCUCGCUGCUGUGGCCUUAGGCAGUUCACAGCCUUCCUGAGACACAGAACUCCACCUGAAAAAUGGUAUCUACUUCUUUGGGUUUCAAUCCUUGGAAAGCAUUUAGGAUAGUUACCCUCAUAGAGGAAGCCCUUGAUGGAACAGUCUGCUAUAAUUACUCCAUUAGAGCAACAAUAAUAAUGUUUAUACACUGAGGGCCUCCUGGGUGCCAGGAGCUUUACCUACACUGCCCUGAAGCCCCAGCAGCUACCCAAAGACAGGUUUUAUCACCCUCAUUUUGUAGGUAAGGAAACUGAGCUCCAAAGCAAAGUGGCCAGCUGAUAUCAGGGCGCAGUGGCUCUCCCCGUGGGAACCUACCGUGGGCAAAAGGAUAAGCGCCUAUUGGGCAGACACCCCCGGCAGAGCGGAACCAGGGAGGGGCUGAGGGGGUACUAGACACUCAGCAGUGGAACCCAGAGACCUUGCUUGCUUCCCACAGAACUCUACUGGUGGAGAACAGACAAGACCCUGAUACACGAGCCAGGGUGCUCAGCAAGGGUUAGGGGCAGCUGGGGGAGCGAAGCAUUCAUUUAUUCAUUCAGCAAACACCGAUGGAGGGAAAUAGAGUCGGUGCUACUGUGCAUGGUCUCUGGAACCCAACUGCUAAAUUCUGGACUCAAGGCAUUGUCACUUGGGAGGUGAGCAGCCUAGGGACUCCCAGUUCCCCCAUUGAAAGUGCCUUUGUCCCCGAGCAAACCAGGACAGUCCAUCACCCUUCCUGGAGGAGAUACUCCACCUCUUAGUUUUCUUAACUGUAAAAGGACACCAAAUCUACCUCAAAUUGCUGUUUUAAAGGCAAAAUGAACAUAAAGCCCUGGGCUAACACUCCAGGCCCGAUAAAGGGGAGCAGGGAUAGAGGUAUUUCAUUUCAUCCCUGCAGAGGGAGCCAAGUGUGAUCACCCUCACUUUGCAGAUGAAGAGACUGAGGCGCCCAUCAUGUCUCAGCAGCACAGGGGUCUGGGCAGCUACUGCUCUCAUCCCAAAGCCUGCUCUUUAAGUUGCUCUUAAACAGGUGUUAGUGAGGCACCCCCAGGGGCUCCCAGGGGGUCUUGUGUGAGGCCAGCUGGGCAGGGCCUGCUGUGCUGCAGCAGCAGGCCCCCGGCAGCUGUGGGCUGGUCCACAGGGCUGACCUGCACCACGUGUUCCCUGGGCAAAGCCCAAGGUCCACUGGGAGCUGACUGGCCCAGUAGGGCACCACCUAUCAGCCCAGGGCCAGGCCCAGGUUCUGAACUGUGCCAGGUCCUAGGAGGGGUGAGCGGAGUUUAAGGAUAUUUCAGUUACCUUGCUAAGUACUUAGCAUGCGCUGACAUGUGGGGUUCUUCCCUAGACAUUAGGAGGGUCCAUGAUCAGUCCCAUUUUAUAGGUGGGGACAAAGAGGCUCAGAGAGGAAGUUUACCCAAGGUCAUCCAGGGGGUAGAGGGCGGAGCCAGUCACCUCUGGGCUUCACUGUCAGACUUAAGAACUCACAAUACUGGGGGCCCUGACGCACUGGGAUGGGAGAGGCAGCUGUGGAUGUCACCUUAGCCAGACGUCAGGGCCAGGCAGGGAACCUUUGUUCGGGGGAAGAAGCCAUGGCCCCAGGCAGAGCCUGGGCUCUCGCUGCAGUCUGGGCUCCCCUGGCGGCCCAAGGAUCCCAGAAAGGCGGU